CUACUGGACGAGAACCCCGGGAACUGGGGCUAAUCCCCGAUAGGCGAAGAGCUCUGGAAUGAGCCUUCACCCAAAAGACGACUAGGCUAUGCUCCUAUUCGUUGCUCGAGGAUGGGGCCGCGACCGAUCAGGUUGUUGGUGAGGUAACGGCUCACCAAGCCUUUGACCGGUGCGGGCCGUGGGAGCGGGAGCCCGGAGAUGGGCACUGAGACAAGGGCCCAGGCCCUACGGGGCGCAGCAGUCGCGCAAACUUUGCAAUACACGAAAGUGUGACAGGGCUAUCCCGAGUGCCGUCCGCUGAGGAUGGCUUUUAGCCAGUCUAGAAAGCUGGUAGAAUAAGGAGAGGGCAAGUCUGGUGUCAGCCGCCGCGGUAAUACCAGCUCUCCGAGUGGUGUGGAUGUUUAUUGGGCCUAAAGCAUCCGUAGCUGGCCAAGCAAGUCCCCUGUUAAACCCAGCGAAUUAAUCGUUGGAUUGCGGGGGAUACUGCUCGGCUAGGGGACGAGAGAGGCCGACGGUAUUCUCGGGGUAGGGGUGAAAUCCUAUAAUCCCGGGAAGACCACCAGUGGCGAAGGCUGUCGGCUAGAACGAGCCCGACGGUGAGGGAUGAAAGCUGGGGGAGCGAACCGGAUUAGAUACCCGGGUAGUCCCAGCUGUAAACGAUGCAGGCUAGGUGUUUGGACGGCCACGCGCCGUUCUAGUGCCGCAGGGAAGCUGUUAAGCCUGCCGCCUGGGGAGUACGAUCGCAAGAUUGAAACUUAAAGGAAUUGGCGGGGGAGCAC
rnacentral:rRNA from 1 species